rnacentral:misc_RNA from 1 species
UAAUCUAUUUGUCAACCUUGAUUUUGGCACGAAAGUCUGCAGAAUGCUUCGUAGUUUUUAAAGCACAUAGAGGGCACUGCAAUUCUUUCUUAUUCCUUGACCUGAAGUUUUCUUGCAAUUUUUUUUUUUUUUUUUUUAAUUGCUGUAUUGGCACACAUACAAUUUUUGUAUAGUGGCUUCAGAUGUGGAUAAGUUUUUCGAACACUUUCGUUUGUUUUACUGGCAUCGCUGAAUUUUGUGAUGAAAUGCAGCACAUUUAUUGCAGAGUGUCACCUUCCAAAUUUUUCAUACUGUUAAUGUAUACAUCAGCAGUGAAUUAUUCUCCUCUUUUCUCAAAUACACUACGGCGAUAAACAAUAACCAUUCACUAAAGAUUUUGUGUAAAUUCCACCUCAUAAUAAUUUAAAUUGCGAAAAUCUCACAAUUAGCACCUAAACACACUAUUCAGCAGCACAAUUUUUUCGAAAGCGCGCCGUAGUAGUCAAAAGUGGGGUAGGCGUCUUGCCAGGUGAAACUAGUCGAUAUUUCCGUGACGUCAAAAAUUCGAAAAGUGGGGUAGGGUUUGGAAAUACGCACCCGGGUCGAGCUCUCAGUAUUCAGUGAUCUUGGUGGAUGUUCCAGUUUAUUUCCAAACGGCAUUUAUGCUCGGCAUUUUGUUCAAAAGGUUUUUUUUUUUUAUUUUAUUUUAUUAUUUUUUUUUUUAUUUUAAGGAAAGAUUACACAAAUGUGAUAAUUAUUUGCAGAAGUAAAUUUACUCAACUCAAUAUUCUAUUAUGAGCUUGAAGCAAGGAGGUUAGAAUACUUGGCUUGAAGAGUGGAAACAGAAAAAAAAAUGUCGGACGCUAUGCUACGAAACGGUAAAUUUAUUUUAAGUAGUGAUUCUGAAUCUGAUGAAGAAAAGCCAGUGUUAAAAAGAAAAGCGUCAGAUAAUAGUGGGAGUAAAAAGAAAAAGAAGAAGCAUCACAAGCACAAGCAUAAACAUAAACAUUCAUCUCAUAAACCUAAGAAAAGUAGUGAAAUCCAUGUAAAACAUAAACAUCGUACUCAUAUAGAGAAAAAAGAAGUGAAUAGCAUGGGCCUUGAGGAAUUAGAGAAGCAAAAGGCUUUAAUUGAGGCAAAGUUAGCUAAAGUUGAUGCGGUUGUUCAGCAGCAAGCUUCUCUUGUUUCUGUUGAAUAUGGUAGUUCAGAUGAGAACAGUCCUCUUCAUAUUGAAACUACUGUAGAAAGACAUGAUUCUGAGUCUACUGCUAGUAGAAUUGUUUGUAUAAAAGACGUUCCACGUAAAGAAAUAUCAAGCCACCGUAAACAUGAUAAAGAAAAUGACAGAGGGGAAUUAAAACGAAAAAAUGUUCAUAAAGAGUCUAAAAGCUUGAAAGAAAAUCAUGAUGGGAAGCAUGCAAGUAGUGUAUCAAAACAUAGUGCAGCUUUACGUGAUCUUAGCAUAGAAAAAAUUUCAAGUCAUAAAAGGGAAAAAGAUUAUAUGGAAGUAAAAAAUCAUGAAAAAUCACCAAAAUCUCAUAAAAGGCCUCAUUCUCCUCCAAGGAAUGAACUUUCUCAUCAUACUAGCACAAGAAUUCGCUCUCCUGUCCAUCGAUCAGAAAUGAGAAAACUGCCAUCACCACGCCGUAAAGAACGGUGCUGGGUUUCUCCCCCAAGAUCACAUUCACGUCGUAGUCCUUCACCCAGAGCUUCAUAUCCUAGACAUACUGAAAAACCACGAAUGAGAAGUCCUAUCAGAUCUCGAAGUCCCAUGCCACGUAGAUCUCCUGAACACUAUGUCUCAGAUUUUCGGACCUCGCGGAGAUCACCUGAUCAUUAUGUAUCAGAUUCCAGAACUUCACGUAAAUCACCUGAUCAUUAUAUAUCAGAUUCCAGGACGUCGCGUAGGUCACCUGACCAUUACCCUUCAGAUUCUAGAAUUUCACGCAGAUCACCAGAACAUUAUGCAUCAGAUUCCAGGGGCUUACGUAGGUCAUCUGAACGAUAUAUAUCAGACUCCAGGACCUCGCAUAGAAGGUCUUUGGGUCGUGCAGUUUCACCUAGAAGGUAUCCAAGUGAUCGAACAAAUAGCCAUCGACAAAGUGGGAGUAGAACACGAAGUCCUGAAAGGAACAGAAGAUCACGAAGUCUUGAAAGGAACAGAAGAUCACGAAGUCCUGAAAGGAACAGAAGAUCACGAAGUCCUGAAAGGAAUAGAAGAUCACGUAGUCCUAAAUCUUAUAGGGAUCGAAGACGGUCUCGGGAUAAUACGAGACCUACAAAUGCUUCAAGAGGAAGUCCCCAUCGAAAAUCUCGGUCAAGUGGCACUGCUGAUCAAGAUCAAAAACAUAGGAGAAGUGAAAAAGAUAAAUUCAAGGAUAGUUUAUCUGAAGGGCAAAAAGUACAGCAUGAAGAUUCAUCAGAUGAUCAAAUUGUUGAUCUUGAAGUAGAAGAGGAGGAGGAAGAAGAUGAAGAAAUUGUCAUUCAGAGACGCAGGCAACAAAGACAAGAAUUAUUAAAGAAACUAGGAGUGGAGCAACCUCAGGGAGGAAGUGGUAUGUCAUCUCCAGCUCAUUCCAACAGUGGAACAGAUACACCUGAUUCCACUACUAUUGGAGAUCAGGCAGCAGCUAGUUUUUGGGCUGAACAAGAUGAACAGUCCAAUGAUUUUGAAGCUUCUAUUCUAGAUAAAAGAAAGAUUAUGGGUUUGCAAGAGGCUAAUGCAGAAAAUGCUGCAGCUGAUGGCACAGAAAAAAAGAAGAAAUUGGAUAUGUUUUCAGAAGCUGAUAAUUUUGUAUCUGAUCUUAGCCCCGGAUCAACACGUCUCAUGUCUGCUUCCGGGCAAGAAAAUCCAAAUUUGACUGAUAACUGGGAUGAUGCGGAAGGUUAUUAUAGAGUGAGAAUUGGAGAGGUUCUAGAUACACGAUACACUGUUUAUGGCUACACUGGUCAAGGCGUAUUUAGUAAUGUAAUUAGAGCUAGAGAUAUGGCUAGAGGAAACCAAGAUGUUGCAAUUAAAAUUAUUAGGAAUAAUGAAAUUAUGCAUAAAACUGGUCUUAAAGAAUUGGAAAUGUUAAGGAGAUUAAAUGAUGCUGAUCCAGAUGAUAAAUUUCACUGUUUGCGCUUAUAUCGCCAUUUUUUUCACAAGCAGCAUUUGUGCUUGGUUUUUGAACCAUUAUGCAUGAAUCUCAGAGAAGUUCUUAAGAAAUAUGGGAAGGAUGUCGGUUUACAUAUCAAAGCUGUACGUUCUUAUAGUCAGCAACUGUUCCUUGCUUUAAAACUUUUAAAAAGGUGCAAUAUUUUGCAUGCAGAUAUUAAACCUGAUAAUAUAUUGGUUAAUGAUCGUAAACUGGUCUUAAAACUUUGUGAUUUUGGUUCUGCAUCACAUGUUGCAGAAAAUGAUGUUACCCCUUAUCUUGUGAGUCGAUUUUAUCGAGCUCCUGAAAUAAUUUUAGGUUUAAAUUAUGAUUUUGGCAUUGACACAUGGAGUGUUGGUUGCACUUUGUAUGAAUUAUAUACAGGAAAAAUAAUGUUUCCUGGGAAGUCUAACAAUCAGAUGUUAAAGAAUUUUAUGGAUUUGAAGGGUAAAUUUCCUAAUAAACUUAUCAAAAAAGGAGCAUUCCGUGAACAGCAUUUUAACAAUAGCUGCAACUUCCUUUCACAUGAAGUUGAUAAAGUAACUGAAAGGGAGAAGGUAGUAGUUCUGACUAACAUUAAUCCAAGUCGAGAUCUACAAGCAGAAUUGGUUGGAUCGCAACGUUUACCUGAUGAUCAGUAUCGGAAAGUAUGCCAGUUGAAAGAUUUAUUGGAGAAAAUUCUGAUGCUUGAUCCAGCUAAAAGAAUAUCCAUAAAUCAAGCAUUAACUCAUCCAUUUAUUCAAGAAAAAAUAUAAGUGGAAUUUCUUCCUUUUUGGGACUAUUAUUCAUCAGACAUACAGGAGCACAUCAGAAAUUGUCUGUCACUCAGCAAGAACCUUAAGAACUGUAUUCACACUUUGUGUUUAUGUUCAUAAACUAUCAGUAUGUGAGAAGGAAACGUAAUUUCUUGUGCCAUGCCCUUUGCUGUUGAAAUAAGAUCUGUUCGCUGACAGAAAGCAGUAUAGUGCUUUGUGGCUCCAAGAUGAUGCAUAACUGGAAGUGUGUGGUCAUUCAAGCUCUGCUGUCUACACUUGUUGCACUCUGAAGGCAAGGCCUAACAAGACAGCUGAAGCAAGGAAAAUUCUGAAAUUCGAAGCCUUGCUGAUCAUCUGUUGCUCAGUUAAGUUAUUUCUCCAAAUAUUGGAUCAAUAUUUUUACAAUUUUUAGAAGAGACUGUGAUUGAAAAACACAAUUUGUGCCUAUUAAUUUUUGAAUAGCUGAUUGAUGAUUUUAUCAAUGAAAACUGAUUAAGAGAAGUUCGAGUUGGGAACCGUAAGUUAUUUUAUGAAUGGUAUUCAGACAAAAUGCUAUAUUUUAUGCAGUAAAUCCACUGUUUAAUUUCAUUCACUUACAUUCUAAACAAUUUUCCAUGUUGAAGUGAUGUUUGUAUGAUAAAUAUCUAAAACACUUUUAUUUUAUUAAGUGGAGUGUCAAUCUAUGAUGUAAUUUAUUUAGGUACUUGAACACUUUUGUCUACAUUGAGCUCAUAGUCAUUGUAUAAAAAAUAUCAUUGAAACAAAUAGAUAUGCUUAUUAGUCUGUUCAAAGAAACUUGUUUGUAAAAUAAAAUUGUUUUAUUGCUGAA